CUUACCAAAAGUGGUCUACUGGGCACUCUUAUCCAAUCGUACGGCCUUCAGUCAUGCAAGGCGGACUUCACCCAUUUAAAGUUUGAGAACAGGUUGAGGUCGCUUCGGCCCCAAGGCGAAUAAUUCGCUUUACCGGAUGAGACUGAGUUUUCCGAGCGCCAGCUAUCCUGAGGGAAACUUUGGAGGGAACCAGCUACUAGAUGGUUUGAUUAGUCUUUCGCCCCUAUACCCGGAUCUGACUAUAUAUUUGCACGUCAGAACAGCUGCGGACCUCCAUCAAAGUUUCCUCUGGCCUCGUCCUGUCCGGGCAUAGUUCACUAUCUUUCGAGUCCCAACAUGUAUGCUCAAACUCUACCCCACCAAUAAAUUAGAAAGGACGGGUUGUUUGUGAGACACUCGUGCAUAGGGAUCCCAACACAAUCGGCGUCUAGUCUGACCUUUGCUUUCAUUGCGCCUCUAAGCUUAUUCGAGACACAUUGAUAAACAGACAUGUUAGACUCCUUGGUCCGUGUUUCAAGACGGGUCGGGUGGGUGACAGAUCUCCUCCCCGCUAACCGCCAACUUCCGACUGGUACAUAGCAGCCAAAGAGGAAGCUGUCUUUCGCUGGGUCACGGAGUCAGCCCGUGCGCCCGCAAAAGUGCUCACCCCUGCCACUGUAUCCAGGAGUCCGCGAACGGAGGAGGCGAAGAAGCCUAAAUAGGCCACUCGACACCACGGUCACGCUACGAGUCGUGCGACACGCUGGAUAACAGGCAACGAUCCAAAUGAAUGAACCACCGGCCAACUGCUGUUGCGCGCCCUUAAGGCCGUCUCGCAACCGGUUGCGGGGUCCUUCGGACGGGAAACAAAUACGUUCCAUGAAGCGAAACCUCCUCUAAUGAAAGGCCGCCUCCGCGGAACCAUAAUGAAUCUCAAACAAGGAGUCCACGCCAAAACACUGAAUCCUCCCGACACAGGAUUUCGAGGGCCCACCCGUUUGCCUCUGAGCAGUGUCACGUACUCUAUCUUUAAAGUUCUUUGCAACUUUCCCUCACGGUACUUGUUUGCUGUCGGUCCCACGGCCGUAUUUAGCCUUAGGUGGAGUUUACCACUCGAUUAGGGCUGCAUUCCCAAGCAACCUGACACAAAGGAGAUCGCAUUCGACGAAGGCCUAGAAGCUAUGGGCCUCGCACCCACUCUGGGUUUCAGCCCCGGUCAGGGGGACUUGCUGCAGAGUCAACCGCCGGCACUCUCACUCCUAAACGCCACAUUU